GACGAACGCUGGCGGCGUGCUUAACACAUGCAAGUCGAACGGAAAGGCCCUGCUUUUGUGGGGUGCUCGAGUGGCGAACGGGUGAGUAACACGUGAGUAACCUGCCCUUGACUUUGGGAUAACUUCAGGAAACUGGGGCUAAUACCGGAUAGGAGCUCCUGCUGCAUGGUGGGGGUUGGAAAGUUUCGGCGGUUGGGGAUGGACUCGCGGCUUAUCAGCUUGUUGGUGGGGUAGUGGCUUACCAAGGCUUUGACGGGUAGCCGGCCUGAGAGGGUGACCGGCCACAUUGGGACUGGGAUACGGCCCAGACUCCUACGGGAGGCAGCAGUGGGGAAUAUUGCACAAUGGGCGGAAGCCUGAUGCAGCAACGCCGCGUGCGGGAUGACGGCUUUCGGGUUGUAAACCGCUUUCGCCUGUGACGAAGCGUGAGUGACGGUAAUGGGUAAAGAAGCACCGGCUAACUACGUG
rnacentral:rRNA from 1 species